rnacentral:rRNA from 1 species
UACGAAGGACCCAAGCGUUAUCCGGAUUUAUUGGGUUUAAAGGGUGCGUAGGCGGAUUAUUAAGUCAGUGGUGAAAGCCUGCAGCUUAACUGCAGAACUGCCAUUGAUACUGAUGAUCUUGAGUAUGAUUGAGGUGGGCGGAAUGUGUCAUGUAGCGGUGAAAUGCUUAGAUAUGACACAGAACACCGAGUGCGAAGGCAGCUCACUAAGCCAUAACUGACGCUGAUGCACGAAAGCGUGGGGAGCAAACAGG